UACGAAGGGGGCUAGCGUUGCUCGGAUUGACUGGGCGUAAAGGGCGCGUAGGCGGUUUGCACAGUCAGACGUGAAAUUCCUGGGCUCAACCUGGGGGCUGCGUUUGAUACGUGUAGACUUGAGUGCGGAAGAGGGUCGUGGAAUUCCCAGUGUAGAGGUGAAAUUUGUAGAUAUUGGGAAGAACACCGGUGGCGAAGGCGGCGACCUGGUCCGAUACUGACGCUGAGGCGCGAAAGCGUGGGGAGCAAACAGG
rnacentral:rRNA from 1 species